rnacentral:rRNA from 1 species
CCUACGGGAGGCAGCAGUGGGGAAUUUUGGACAAUGGGCGCAAGCCUGAUCCUGCCAUUCCGCGUGAGUGAAGAAGGCCUUCGGGUUGUAAAGCUCUUUCGCAAGGGAAGAAACGUUACGGGCGAAUAACCCGUGAUAAUGACGGUACCUUGAUAAGAAGCACCGGCUAACUACGUGCCAGCAGCCGCGGUAAUACGUAGGGUGCAAGCGUUAAUCGGAAUUACUGGGCGUAAAGCGUGCGCAGGCGGUUUUGUAAGUCAGAUGUGAAAUCCCCGAGCUCAACUUGGGAACUGCGUUUGAAACUACAAGGCUAGAAUAUGUCAGAGGGGGGUAGAAUUCCACGUGUAGCAGUGAAAUGCGUAGAGAUGUGGAGGAAUACCAAUGGCGAAGGCAGCCCCCUGGGAUAAUAUUGACGCUCAUGCACGAAAGCGUGGGGAGCAAACAGGAUUAGAUACCCUGGUAGUCCACGCCCUAAACGAUGUCUACUAGUUGUUGGUGGAGUAAAAUCCAUGAGUAACGCAGCUAACGCGUGAAGUAGACCGCCUGGGGAGUACGGUCGCAAGAUUAAAACUUAAAGGAAUUGACCGG